rnacentral:rRNA from 1 species
ACGCCGCGUGAGUGAUGAAGGCUUUCGGGUCGUAAAGCUCUGUCAGGGGGAAAGAAGUGUAUUGUGGCUAAUAUCCAUGGUACUUGACGGUACCCCCAAAGGAAGCACCGGCUAACUCCGUGCCAGCAGCCGCGGUAAUA